AUGGAGGCCAAUCCUGCCCACAUAGAUGGUGAAUGGCUGAUGUGUGGCUGUCCACCAAAUCCUCCUGAAUGAUUGCUUAUGGAGAAUGUCCUCAGUUAGAAAGAAGGUCUUUUAUGCACUAUCCCUGGCAUACUCUCAUGUCUAAAAAUUCCUCUGUUAUCUUCCUAAAUCAUCUAUUAUUUUUCCACUCCAAGCUACACUUUGUUCAGUGUCAGCAUUCUGGGGUUUUAUUGUGUAAUGUUUUAAUUCUCAUUUUUCUGAGAGCACAGGUCCAUAUCUACUUACUGACUUCAUUUAAUCUGAAGCAUAAACUGUUGAUAUUGUUGACAAUUCCAUUUUACAGAUGAAUAAAUUGAAACUCCGAAGAAGUUAUUUCAUCAUAACCUUACGUGGAUUUUAUUUUAUUUUAUUUUAUUUUAUUUUAUUUUAUUUUAUUUUAUUUUAUUUUAUUUUAUUUGGUAGAAAAAUUCGGAAAGGCUUUGCCUGCUGGACUCUCACUUUAGUGAUGGUUAAAAGGAAGAAGAAUGAUCCCAUUUCAGGAAUACUAAAGCUAUCAGAUCUGACACUGAAAAUUUUGCCAAAAGUUAUUUUGGGAACCCAGAAAAAAGAGGUAUAAACUUUAGUCAUAUUUUACUAUUAGGUUAAAUGCCAGGUUUGGAAUGAUGUUACCCAUUCAUCCAAUUCAGUGAUCUAUAAUACAGUAUACCAUUUGUGAAUUAUAUGUUUAGGUCAUUUAACCUACCUCCCUAGCACUUUGUAGGAGUGGGAUAUGACUGCAGCGUUCCAGGGGAAUAUAUAGACAUCUCUGAGCACAAUUUCCAACACUGCAGACAAAGUGAAAACGCAACGCGUCUGCACAACAUUAAGUUUAUUAUUUAUCAUUCUGCUUUUAUAUUCCUGCUCAGUAAAUUACUCUACAACUUUAAAAUG
rnacentral:lncRNA from 1 species